AGAGUUGAUCAUGGCUCAGGACGAACGCUGGCGGCGUGCUUCAUACAUGCAAGUCGAACGAUAAGGUCUCUUCGGAGACACAUAAGUGGCGGACGGGUGAGUAAAAUGUAGAGAAUCUGCCCUAGAGUGGGGGACAACAGUUGGAAACGACUGCUAAUACCGCAUAUGAGCGUACCUGCAAUGGUAUUCUUGAAAACUUCGGUGCUCUGGGAUGAGUCUGCAUCUGAUUAGCUAGUUGGCGGUGUAAUGGACCACCAAGGCGACGAUCAGUAGCUGGUUUGAGAGGAUGAUCAGCCACAAUGGGACUGAGACACGGCCCAUACUCCUACGGGAGGCAGCAGUAGGGAAUUUUGCGCAAUGGGCGAAAGCCUGACGCAAGCAACGCCGCGUGAUUGAAUAAGCCCUUCGGGGUGUAAAGAUCUGUCAGUAGGGACGAAACUUGACGGUACCUACAGAGGAAGCAUCGGCUAACUCCGUGCCAGCCGCAGC
rnacentral:rRNA from 1 species